rnacentral:rRNA from 1 species
UACGUAGGGUGCAAGCGUUGUCCGGAUUUAUUGGGCGUAAAGAGCUCGUAGGCGGUCUGUCGCGUCGAAUGUGAAAACCCGGGGCUCAACCCCGGGCCUGCAUUCGAUACGGGCAGACUAGAGUUCGGUAGGGGAGUCUGGAAUUCCUGGUGUAGCGGUGAAAUGCGCAGAUAUCAGGAGGAACACCGGUGGCGAAGGCGGGACUCUGGGCCGGUACUGACGCUGAGGCACGAAAGCGUGGGGAGCAAACAGG